rnacentral:rRNA from 1 species
AUUGAACGCUGGCGGCAGGCCUAACACAUGCAAGUCGAGCGAGCGGCGGACGGGUGCGUAAUGUCUGGGAAACUGCCUGAUGGAGGGGGGUAACUACUGGAAACGGGAGAUAAUACCGCAUACCCCCAGCUGUGCCCAGAUGGGAUUAGCUAGUAGGUGGGGUAACGGCUCACCUAGGCGACGAUCCCUAGCGGGUCUGAGAGGAUGACCAGCCACACUGGAACUGAGACACGGUCCAGACUCCUACGGGAGUCAGCAGUGGGGAAUAUUGCACAAUGGGCGCAAGCCUGAUGCAGCCAUGCCGCGUGUGUGAAGAAGGCCUGCGGGUUGUAAAGCACUUUCAGCGGGGAGGCGUUACCCGCAGAAGAAGCACCGGCUAACUCCGUGCCAGCAGCCGCGGUAAUAC